rnacentral:rRNA from 1 species
AACGAACGCUGGCGGCAGGCCUAACACAUGCAAGUCGAGCGCGCCCUUCGGGGUUAGUGGCGGACGGGUGAGUAACGCGUGGGAACGUGCCCUUCUUUGCGGAAUAGCUUCGGGAAACUGAGAGUAAUACCGCAUACGUUCUUUGGGGGAAAGAUUUAUCGGAGAAGGAUCGGCCCGCGUUGGAUUAGCUAGUUGGUGGGGUAAUGGCCCACCCAGGCGACACUGCAUAGCUGGUUUGAGAGGAUGAUCAGCCACACUGGGACUGAGACACGGCCCAGACUCCCACGGGAGGCAGAAGUGGGGAAUCUUAGACAAUGGGUGAAACCCUGAUCUUGCCAUGCCGCGUGAGUGAUGAAGGCGUUAGGGUCGUAAAGCUGUUUCAGCAGCGAAGAUAAUGACGGUACCGGCAGAAGAAGCGCCGGCUAACUCCGUG